rnacentral:rRNA from 1 species
GUUGACCUCNGAUCAGGUAGGAAUACCCGCUGA